rnacentral:rRNA from 1 species
GACAGAGGGGGCAAGCGUUGCUCGGAAUUACUGGGCGGAAAGGGCGCGUAGGCGGGAUGGCAAGUCGGUCGUGAAAUCCUUCGGCUCAACCGAAGAACGUCGAUCGAUACUGCUGUUCUUGAGGGUUGCAGAGGAGACUGGAAUUCCCGGUGUAGCGGUGAAAUGUGUAGAGAUCGGGAGGAACACCAGUGGCGAAGGCGGGUCUCUGGACAGUUCCUGACGCUGAGGCACGAAGGUCAGGGGAGCAAACGGG